rnacentral:rRNA from 1 species
CGGACAGGUAAGUUGGGCGUGAAAGCUCCGGGCCCAACCCGGAGAGGUCGUUCAAUACUGCGUGUCUAGAGGGUGUCAGAGGGGAGUGGAAUUUCCGGAGUAGCGGUAAAAUGCGCAGAGAUCGGAAAGAACACCAAUGGCGAAGGCAGCUCCCUGGGGCAACCCUGACGCUAAGAGACGAAAGCUAGGGGAGCGAACAGGAUUAGAGACCCUGGUAGUCCUAGCCCUAAACGAUGGAUGCUGGAUGUGGGGCCAUAGCGCUCCGUGUCGAAGCGAACGCGUUAAGCAUCCCGCCUGGGGACUACGGCCGCAAGGUUAAAACUCAAACGAAUUGACGGGACCCCGCACAAGCAGCGGAGCGUGUGGUUUAAUUCGAUGCUACACGAAGAACCUUACCUGGGUUUGACAUCUAGGUGGUAGUGAAGCGAAAGCGGAGCGACCCUUCGGGGAGCCUAGACAGGUGCUGCAUGGCUGUCGUCAGCUCGUGCCGUGAGGUGUCGGGUUAAGUCCCGUAACGAGCGCAACCCUUGCCCUCCGUUAUACGUGUCAGAGGGGACUGCCGGCGGUAAGCCGGAGGAAGGUGGGGAUGACGUCAAGUCAGCAUGGCCUUUAUAUCCAGGGCUACACACACGCUACAAUGGCCAGUACAAAGGGCAGCGAAGCCGCGAGGUGGAGCGAAUCCCAGCAAAGCUGGUCGUAGUUCGGAUUGCAGGCUGCAACCCGCCUGCAUGAAGCUGGAGUUGCUAGUAACCGCGCGUCAGCCAUAGUGCGGUGAAUACGUUCCCGGGGUUUGUACACACCGCCCGUCACGUCAUGGGAGUCGAUAACGCCUGAAGCCGGUGGCCUAGCUCGGAAGAGAGGGCGCUGUCUAAGGCGGGGUCGGUGACUGGGACGAAGUCGUAACAAG